CCUACGGGUGGCAGCAGUGAGGAAUAUUGGUCAAUGGGCGCAAGCCUGAACCAGCCAAGUAGCGUGAAGGAUGACGGCCCUAUGAGUUGUAAACUUCUUUUGUCAGGGAAUAAACGCAGGCACGUGUGCCUGUCUGAAAGUACCUUAUGAAUAAGGAUCGGCUAACUCCGUGCCAGCAGCCGCGGUAAUACGGAGGAUUCGAGCGUUAUCCGGAUUUAUUGGGUUUAAAGGGUGCGUAGGGGGGUGGUUAAGUUAGUGGUGAAAGUGUGGGGCUCAAACUCGGAAUUGCCUUUGAUACUGGUCGGCUUGAGUAUAGUUGAGGUAGGCGGAAUGUGUGGUGUAGCGGUGAAAUGCUUAGAUAUCACGCAGAACUCCGAUUGCGAAGGCAGCUUACCAAGCUACUACUGACGUUGAGGCACGAAAGUGUGGGGAGCAAACAGGAUUAGAUACCCCAGUAGUC
rnacentral:rRNA from 1 species